rnacentral:rRNA from 1 species
UACGUAGGGGGCAAGCGUUGUUCGGAAUUACUGGGCGUAAAGGGCGCGUAGGCGGCACAGCAAGUCGGGUGUGAAAGCCCGGGGCUCAACCCCGGAACGGCUUCCGAAACUGCUGAGCUAGAGUGCGGAAGGGGCAACCGGAAUUCCCAGUGUAGCGGUGAAAUGCGUAGAUAUUGGGAAGAACACCCGAGGCGAAGGCGGGUUGCUGGGCCGACACUGACGCUGAGGCGCGAAAGCCAGGGGAGCAAACGGG